GAGUUGAAGAUCGAUGGCGGAAGGCACGAUGAUCCCCAGCAACUGAAGAAGGGAAGCCAUAGCUUCAGGCAGAGGCUACUUCUCUGAACCCUUUCUUCGACGCCUAUCAUCAGGCAGAGGCUGAAUCCUAGACUCCAACAUCACGAGAUGUCUCUCCUCCGCCUCUUCGACUGUCUCCGAUGACUGCAUCACACUUGCCCUCAUCCAGGCGUAGAGGGAAAGAUUGUGGUUGAGCUGAUUUUGCUGGGCAAAUCUGGAUGCAGGGGCAAACAUUAUCUGAUUUUUUCUUAAUUGUUCUGUUCUUUUUUUUUGGUUUCGGGUAUGUGGAUUUGAUUUUGUGAUCGUUGUUCUGAUUGUGCAAGGAGGAGUCUCUUGCACAUAGAACAUAGAAACUACCUUUUUAUAUAGUUUGUAAUCAAAGAUUUACUCUACUUAUUUGUGCUUCACGUUUCAUUGUUGA